rnacentral:rRNA from 1 species
UACGUAGGGGGCAAGCGUUAUCCGGAUUUACUGGGUGUCAAGGGAGCGUAGACGGCGAUGCAAGCCAGAUGUGAAAGCCCGGGGCUCAACCCCGGGACUGCAUUUGGAACUGUAUAGCUAGAGUGUCGGAGAGGCAGGCGGAAUUCCUAGUGUAGCGGUGAAAUGCGUAGAUAUUAGGAGGAACACCAGUGGCGAAGGCGGCCUGCUGGACGAUGACUGACGUCGAGGCUCGAAAGCGUGGGGAGCAAACAGG